rnacentral:rRNA from 1 species
UACGUAGGGUGCAAGCGUUAAUCGGAAUUACUGGGCGUAAAGCGUGCGCAGGCGGUUUUGUAAGUCAGAUGUGAAAUCCCCGGGCUUAACCUGGGAACUGCGUUUGAAACUACAAGGCUAGAGUGUGGCAGAGGGGGGGCGGAAUUCCACGUGUAGCAGUGAAAUGCGUAGAGAUGUGGAGGAACACCGAUGGCGAAGGCAGCCCCCCUGGGGUACU